CCUACGGGUGGCAGCAGUGAGGAAUAUUGGUCAAUGGGCUUACGCCUGAACCAGCCAAGCCGCGUGAGGGAAGACUGUCCCAUGGGUUGUAAACCUCUUUUGUCAGGGAGCAACGCCGGCCACGUGAACCCGGCCUGAGAGUACCUGAAGAAAAAGCAUCGGCUAACCCCGUGCCAGCAGCCGCGGUAAUACGGAGGAUGCGAGCGUUAUCCGGAUUUAUUGGGUUUAAAGGGUGCGUAGGCGGAAUGCCAAGUCAGCGGUAAAAUCGCGGGGCUCAACCUCGCUCCGCCGUUGAAACUGGCGGUCUUGAGAGGGCGAGAGGUAUGCGGAAUGCGGAGUGUAGCGGUGAAAUGCAUAGAUAUCGCGCAGAACUCCGAUUGCGAAGGCAGCAUACCGGCGGCGAGCUGACGCUGAGGCACGAAAGCGUGGGUAUCGAACAGGAUUAGAUACCCUUGUAGUC
rnacentral:rRNA from 1 species